rnacentral:rRNA from 1 species
ACUAAACAACUAGCUUAAACCUAAACAUAAAUUCACACUAUAAAUAACCAAAAUUUAACCCACAGCAAACUAACUAAACCAUUCUUAACCUUAGUAUGGGCGACAAAAAAGACUACAAUAUAAAGCAAUAGAUAAAGUACCGCAAGGAAAAGUUGAAAGAGAAAUGAAACAACCCAUAUAAGUGAUAAAAACCAAAGACUAAAUCUUGUACCUUUUGCAUCAUGAUUUAGCAAGCCCACCCAAGCAAAGAGACCUUUAGUUUGAAGCCCCGAAACCAAGUGAGCUACCCCGAGACAGCCUAUAUAUAGGGCCAACCCAUCUCUGUGGCAAAAGAGUGGGAAGAGCUCCGGGUAGAGAUGACAGAUCUAUCGAACUUGGUGAUAGCUGGUUGUCUAGGAAAUGAAUAUAAGUUCAGCCUCAUACUCCCCUAAUCAAAAACACAUAAAUUAAGAUACAAGAAAAAUAAGAGAGUUAGUUUAAGGAGGUACAGCCCCUCAAACAAAGGAUACAACCUUAACAGAAGAAUAAAGAUCAUAAUUAUUAAAACACAUUGUCCUAGUGGGCCUAAAAGCAGCCACCUAAACAGAAAGCGUUAAAGCUCAGACAAACAAAAGUUUAUUAUACCAAUAAAUAAUCCCACUUCCCUAAAAAUACUAGACUACUCCAUGCACACAUGGAAGAAAUUAUGCUAAAAUGAGUAACAAGAAGAACACAACCUUCUCCAAGCACAAGUGUAAGUCAGACCGGACUAACCACUGACAAUUAACGAACCCAAAAAGAGAGUAAAAUGGAUUAUAUAACAACCAAGAAAAACCCAUAACUAACAAUCGUUAUCCCCACACCGGAGUGCAUUAAAAGAAAGACUAAAAGAAAAGGAAGGAACUCAGCAAACACAAGCCUCGCCUGUUUACCAAAAACAUCGCCUCCUGUAAUACCCAAAUGUAAGAGGUCCAGCCUGCCCAGUGACUACAAGUUAAACGGCCGCGGUAUUUUAACCGUGCAAAGGUAGCGUAAUCACUUGUCCUUUAAAUAAGGACCUGUAUGAAUGGUUAAACGAGGGCUUAACUGUCUCCCCCCUCCAGUCAGUGAAAUUGAUCUAUCCGUGCAGAAGCGGGUAUAAUAAUACAAGACGAGAAGACCCUUUGGAGCUUAAGGUACAAGACCCACCCAUGUAAAACAAACAUAUUAAAACUAAAAACAUAGUGGGGAAUGGAACUCUACCUUCGGUUGGGGCGACCACGGAGAAGAAAUCAGCCUCCAAGUGGAAUGGAUAAUAUCCAAAACUAAGAGACACACCUCUAAGUAACAAAAUAUUUGACCAAACAUGACCCGGCAAUAAAGCCGACCAACGAACCAAGUUACCCAAGGGAUAACAGCGCAAUCCUCUCCCAGAGCCCAUAUCGACGAGGGGGUUUACGACCUCGAUGUUGGAUCAGGACAUCCUAAUGGUGCAGCCGCUAUUAAGGGUUCGUUUGUUCAACGAUUAAAGUCCUACGUGAUCUGAGUUCAGACCGGAGUAAUCCAGGUCAGUUUCUAUCUGUAAUGCUACUUUUCCUAGUACGAAAGGACCGGAAAAAGGGGGUCAACACUAAAAGUGCACCCCACCCCAAAUUAAUGAGCCAAAAUAAAUUAAACAAGGGGGGCAUAAAUUUAUCCUAAAUAAGGACCU